ACGUAAUAGAUACCCGGGUAGUCCACGCCCUAAACGAUGUCUACUAGUUGUCGGGUCUUAAUUGACUUGGUAAACGCAGCUAAACGCGUGAAAGUAGACCGCCUGGGGAGUACGGUCGCAAGAUUAAAACUCAAAGGAAUUGACGGGGACCCGCACAAGCGGUGGAUGAUGUGGAUUAAUUCGAUGCAACGCGAAAAACCUUACCUACCCUUGACAUGGAUGGAAUCCUUGAGAGAUUGAGGAGUGCCCGAAAGGGAACCAUUACACAGGUGCUGCAUGGCUGUCGUCAGCUCGUGUCGUGAGAUGUUGGGUUAAGUCCCGCAACGAGCGCAACCCUUGUCAUUAGUUGCUACGAAAGGGCACUCUAAUGAGACUGCCGGUGACAAACCGGAGGAAGGUGGGGAUGACGUCAAGUCCUCAUGGCCCUUAUGGGUAGGGCUUCACACGUCAUACAAUGGUACAUACAGAGGGCCGCCAACCCGCGAGGGGGUAGCUAAUCUCAGAAAGCCGAUCGUAGUCCGGAUUGUUCUCUGCAACUCGAGAGC
rnacentral:rRNA from 1 species